rnacentral:rRNA from 1 species
CAGCAGCCACGGUAAUACGAAGGGGGCUAGCGUUGCUCGGAACGACUGGGCGUAAAGGGCGCGUAGGCGGCGAUCAAAGUCAGGCGUGAAAUUCCUGGGCUCAACCUGGGGGCUGCGCUUGAUACUUGGUUGCUUGAGUGGGGAAGAGGGUCGUGGAAUUCCCAGUGUAGAGGUGAAAUUCGUAGAUAUUGGGAAGAACACCAGUGGCGAAGGCGGCUCACUGGACCGACACUGACGCUGAGGCGCGAAAGCGUGGGGAGCAAACAGGAUUAGAUACCCGAGUAGUCCCUGUCUCUUAUAC